ACCUGCGAUGGAAUCGUGGAUCGUGCCCCCCUUUAAUUGAUCGUUUCAUGCAUCAUAAGAAGUUUUUCCUCCCACUGAGUUGGUGAUCGCUGGGCUGAGGUCCGUUGAUCCUAUUUUGUCGCGUGGAUGGUGAUUCUAAACGGUGUCUGUCGGUUUUGUUGGGUACAGGUGGUAUGAUUUUUCCUGCUUGGCUAUUGUUAUAUGGAGAAUUUGGAAGGACAUGUCUUCAUAUGCAGGUGAGGAUUGUUGGAUCGUGUGGCAUCCACCUACGUGAGUCUCUCUCUCUCCCUCUAUCUCUCUCUAUCUCUCUGAGAAAGUCUUGUCUGAGUGCCCUUUUCGGUCAUGUUUGAGUUGAUAAGAACAGGUGCUUAAGAGGUUAUGCAGCCUUCUCUUCAUUUUUCCAGAAUGAAACAAGUGAUUGAAGAAGCUACCUAAUUUGAUUGUGUGAUCCCAUCUUCUGGACUUUAUGGUGCCCUGCUUCCUUGGAGUGUUUUUCGAUGGUCUGGUUCCUGGAAUAUCAAUCGAUCUUUAUUGUAGUAGGACUUUCCGAUCUCCUCUGAUCAAUAUAGAUCUCCACAACUCGACUUAACU